AGUGGGAUAGCUGGGUCAAAUGGUGAUUCCAUUCCAAGUUUUCCAGGGAAUCUCCAUACUGCUUUCCAUAUUGGCUGCACCAUUUUGCAGUCCUGCCAGCAAU
rnacentral:pre_miRNA from 1 species